GACUAGAGAGCUUGAAACAGCGCUUGACUUUUAAUCAAGAGAUAAUAACCUGAUAUUUCUAGUUA
rnacentral:tRNA from 1 species